CGACGCGAUUGGGUUCGGGUCCGAAGGGGAUCUUCCCAAGAUUGUUUUCGAGUCUGUCAAGGUGAUCGGGUGCGGUGAUCGGGACGGUGUCGUUGCCUUCUCCGAGCAGGAACUCCUCGCCUUUGCGUCUCGUGGGGACCUUCGGCUUCGCUCCUGCACAAAGGUCGAGUCGGGGUGCUCGGCCCGACCUCUCCGACGAUCAAGUCAGUUGAUGUUAAGGGGAAUUCAGAUGAUGAAGUCUUUUUUGUGUCUCCUCUUUUUUCCCUCAGAGCGUAAGGACUUUUAUAGUAAGAAUUAUCGUUGUCUGACGUGCCUGCCUGUAGGGAGUAGGAUCAUACUUCUGAUAACGUCUUACAUUGUCGUUGGCGUGGCGUGAGGGAUCGAGCCUGAGCAGGAUAUUAAUGUGCAUCGAUAGACGUUUUGGUCUGCGUUGACCGGGCGACUCAUCAAGUUUACAGAGGCGAGAUGCGUCACCUGACGCAACUGAUGUCACGUGAGUCUUAUCGUAAUUAUUACCCUCGUCACUGGCUCAAUAUGUUCUUACUUCCUUAUUGAUUGAAGGUAAAAAAAAAAUUUGAUUGAUUUGAGUCAUAUGAUUCAAGUCAGAUCACGACAUAAUAACUCAUUAAUAAUGAAACUAGUAGUAGGUAUAAGUUGGUCAUAAGAAGGUGCGUGGCGCGUGAGACGGUUUCUCACGUGACUCGUUCCGGUUCAGUGAAGAACCGGUCCGGUUAAUUGAGCCCAAGUCUGACUCAAUUUUGCGUCGGUUCCCACAGAACCAAAAAGAGGGAAGAACGAAGAAGAUGAGACCUAAUUCCCUUUACCUUAUCCUCCUCUCGAGCUCUCGUUCCCUUGCCCUCUUUCUGCUCCUCGCUCUCUCCAGUCCCCAGUAAACGUCCCCAUCAUGUCUUCUCGAUCCGCUAAUGCUUCGCGCCGCCCUCUCCCUCACUCCCUCUUCUUCUUGCCCAUCUCCCAAUCUCCGUGGUUCCUCUGGCGACCGAUGAUCCCCACUCUUGAAACGCUCCUGCAGCUACGGUGUCGCGCGGGUGGCCGUUCUCCUUGUCUGGCCCCGGAGUUCUUGGAGGCCGGCCUCCUCGCCGCCGUCAUGCUCGCUCGAUGCACGUGAUUGGAAAGGUCGGUCGGUUAGAUCGGCCACCGAAAAGAAGAAGAAGAAGAAGAUGGAAACAGAGUAUACUGUGUGUAAAGAUAGAAAAGAAGGCGAGAAAGAACACUGGAGCAGAACCAAUGGACCUGCUUCAGCUGCCUGAAGAAGAUGGAGGAAACUGGCUGGAACCCAUCCAUGAUGUCUCCGGAAUAUCCGGCACUCCACUCCAGUUCGUCUGCUGCUCCGUCGUGCUCGAAGCAUAGAAUGGAGAGUACGGAGUUGAUGAUGAAGAUACAACGGAGGAGUAGGUAGGGAUGGAGGGAGCAGGUAAAGAACUGCCGUCGUUCACAGUCGAACACAUGGGCGAAGCGUAAUUGGAGUACAUGUACUGAUCCAAGAGACUCGUCGGAGGGAUCCUCUGGUGCUCCUCGCCCGCCUGCAACAGCCUCGUGUACGCCAAGUAAUCGGUUAUGUUAUCCGACGUGGUGGCAGGGGAAUUGGACGUCGCAAGCGGGACGGAGAGCGACGGCUGAAGUUGGACGUUCUCGGGGAAGUUGAGUUUGGCUCUUCUGCCACGGAAGCGGAGGGCGGCCGCGUCGUACGCCCGCGCUGCCUCCUCGGCAGUCUCGAACGUGCCCAGCCACACCCGCGCCGCCUUGUGGGGAUCCCGGAUCUCCGCCGCCCAUUUUCCCCACGGCCGCUGGCGGACUCCGCGGUACUUCCUUCUCGGCUCGCUUCUCUCCGCCUCUUCCGGGUUGGAGGAAGCAGGGGAGGGCUCUUCCAUGGCUGCUGCCGGAACAGGGUAUCCUAGUAUUGGCAGAGGGCCUCCUUGUGGAUACUGCUCUGUUACUGUACGAGUACCACAGCACAAAGAACAGAACGAGUCACCACCGCCAUGCAGAUGUAAGUCCAAAUAUAUUUCGUAUGCAGAGGAUGUUUGGAUAAAGCAGAA